rnacentral:ncRNA from 3 species
AAACUAUUAAAAGCGGGCUUGUCCUGAGCGAAGUCGAAGGAAUACGAGGAAGGGGGUCGCCGACGAGGCGACAAUCGGACUCCGCCCAAGGCGGAAGCAUCUGCGGAAACCCCUCGGUGUACUUCACAUCGAUAAAGAAAGAUUAAACCUGGUUGGUAACAACCAAUACAAAGUCUUAUCUUUUGAAGUCC